CCUUUCUUCUCAAGCCAUGCCUCUGCGAGAGGGAAAUCCAGUCUAGCAGCAGACACCAUCUGCUCGGUGACACAGCAUGACCCAGAUGGCACGAACACAUUCAGAAGGUCACAUGAACAAGAAACAAGCCCUUCUGGAAGAGGAGGAACUGACCCACGCAGACAACAAUUGUUGGAAGCUGAGUGGGAGCUGCUAUGUCACGUUGGCCUCCUUCACUCUCUUCACCAAGGCCACAUAAGCAUCAUAGCAGAGCUCAAUCAUACAACAGAGAGCCAUGGACCGAAGACAAGUAACUCUUGGAGAGCCCGUGAGAAGACUGUCCACAUUCCUGACAGCUCAUCUACUAAUCCCCAGAAAGAUAUGUGUACAUAGUUCACCUUCCCAAAAUAGUCACUCUUGAUUGUGGCUUUUAUUUCCUGGGUACAUUCAUGUUUACAGUUGUGAUUAAAAUGUUUUGC